rnacentral:rRNA from 1 species
GGGUUGUGAGGUUAAGCGACUAAGCGUACACGGUGGAUGCCCUGGCAGUCAGAGGCGAUGAAGGGCGUGCUAAUCUGCGAUAAGCGCCGGUAAGGUGAUAUGAACCGUUAUAACCGGCGAUACCCGAAUGGGGAAACCCAGUGUGAUUCGUCACACUAUCAUUAACUGAAUCCAUAGGUUAAUGAGGCGAACCGGGGGAACUGAAACAUCUAAGUACCCCGAGGAAAAGAAAUCAACCGAGAUUCCCCCAGUAGCGGCGAGCGAACGGGGAGGAGCCCAGAGCCUGAAUCAGCAUGUGUGUUAGUGGAAGCGUCUGGAAAGGCGCGCGAUACAGGGUGACAGCCCCGUACACAAAAGCGCAUGUGCUGUGAGCUCGAUGAGUAGGGCGGGACACGUGGUAUCCUGUCUGAAUAUGGGGGGACCAUCCUCCAAGGCUAAAUACUCCUGACUGACCGAUAGUGAACCAGUACCGUGAGGGAAAGGCGAAAAGAACCCCGGCGAGGGGAGUGAAAAAGAACCUGAAACCGUGUACGUACAAGCAGUGGGAGCACCCUUCGGGGUGUGACUGCGUACCUUUUGUAUAAUGGGUCAGCGACUUAUAUUCUGUAGCAAGGUUAACCGUAUAGGGGAGCCGGAGGGAAACCGAGUCUUAACCGGGCGUUAAGUUGCAGGGUAUAGACCCGAAACCCGGUGAUCUAGCCAUGGGCAGGUUGAAGGUUGGGUAACACUAACUGGAGGACCGAACCGACUAAUGUUGAAAAAUUAGCGGAUGACCUGUGGCUGGGGGUGAAAGGCCAAUCAAACCGGGAGAUAGCUGGUUCUCCCCGAAAGCUAUUUAGGUAGCGCCUCGUGAAUUCAUCUCCGGGGGUAGAGCACUGUUUCGGCUAGGGGGCCAUCCCGGCUUACCAACCCGAUGCAAACUGCGAAUACCGGAGAAUGUUAUCACGGGAGACACACGGCGGGUGCUAACGUCCGUCGUGAAGAGGGAAACAACCCAGACCGCCAGCUAAGGUCCCAAAGUCAUGGUUAAGUGGGAAACGAUGUGGGAAGGCCCAGACAGCCAGGAUGUUGGCUUAGAAGCAGCCAUCAUUUAAAGAAAGCGUAAUAGCUCACUGGUCGAGUCGGCCUGCGCGGAAGAUGUAACGGGGCUAAACCAU